rnacentral:rRNA from 1 species
CGGAAUUACUGGGCGUAAAGGGCCAGUAGGUGGCCAACUAAGUCCGACGUGAAAUCCCAAGGCUUAACCUUGGAACUGCGUCGGAUACUGGAUGGCUUGAAUUCGGGAGAGGGAUGCAGAAUUCCAGGUGUAGCGGUGAAAUGCGUAGAUAUCUGGAGGAAUACUGGUGGCGAAGGCGGCAUCCUGGACCGACAUUGACGCUGAACGGCGAAAGCUAGGGGAGCAAACGGG